AAAUCCGAUAACGAACGAGACUCUGGCCUGCUAAAUAAGGCGGCGGGUUCCCAACUCCGCUCCGCGGUUCGGGUCACGUGCGGUCUGCGUCUCUGGGGUUCGCUCCUUGGGCGUGGGCAGUCGGGGCUCGGCUCGGGCGGGGCCGCCCGUCCUUUGCGCUUCUCUUCUUAGAGGGACAAGGCAGCUUCAAGCUGCGUGAAAUGGGGCAAUAACAGGUCUGUGAUGCCCUUAGAUGUUCUGGGCCGCACACGCGCUACACUGAGGGUGGCAGCGUGUUUAUUUUCCUGACUCGAGACGAGUUGGGUAACCCUGUCAAUCACCCUCGUGCUGGGGAUUGAGGUUUGCAAUUUUCCUUCAUGAACGAGGAAUUCCCAGUAGGUGCGAGUCAUCAGCUCGCGCCGACUACGUCCCUGCCCUUUGUA
rnacentral:rRNA from 1 species